rnacentral:lncRNA from 1 species
UAGCAUCUCCUGUGUUUAAUCAGUGUCCACUCUGCUGUUGACUGGCUAGAUUUGCAUAUAAAAUGCCUUAUGCAGAUAGCUAGGUCCUCUCCUUGUGUUUAAGGAAAAUGAACUGUUGGAGAGUAAAAACUAACCCCUAAUUUGAAGAGGCAAGAUAAUGCAAAUGAAGGGAGAUGCAAAUCUGGCAGUUUGUGUCAAUGUAAAUAAAUCCCUUACUCAUGAUAGAAGUGGGCAUUCUUGAGAACUACUUGUUUUAAAGUG